rnacentral:tRNA from 1 species
GAGGGUAUAGAUCAGUGGUAGAGCACAUGCUUAGCAUGCACGAGGUCCUGGGUUCAAUCCUCAGUACCUAUA